UACGAAGGGGGCUAGCGUUGCUCGGAAUUACUGGGCGUAAAGGGCUCGUAGGCGGCCAACUAAGUCCGACGUGAAAUCCCAAAGCUUAACUUUGGAACUGCGUCGGAUACUGGAUGGCUUGAAUUCGGGAGAGGGAUGCAGAAUUCCAGGUGUAGCGGUGAAAUGCGUAGAUAUCUGGAGGAAUACCGGUGGCGAAGGCGGCAUCCUGGACCGGCAUUGACGCUGAGGAGCGAAAGCCAGGGGAGCAAACGGG
rnacentral:rRNA from 1 species